rnacentral:rRNA from 1 species
GAUGAACGCUGGCGGCGUGCCUAAUACAUGCAAGUCGAGCGAACGGACGAGAAGCUUGCUUCUCUGAUGUUAGCGGCGGACGGGUGAGUAACACGUGGAUAACCUACCUAUAAGACUGGGAUAACUUCGGGAAACCGGAACUAAUACCGGAUGAUAUUUUGAACCGCAUGGUUCAAAAGUGAAAGACGGUCUUGCUGUCACUUAUAGAUGGAUCCGCGCUGCAUUAGCUAGUUGGUAAGGUAACGGCUUACCAAGGCAACGAUGCAUAGCCGACCUGAGAGGGUGAUCGGCCACACUGGAACUGAGACACGGUCCAGACUCCUACGGGAGGCAGCAGUAGGGAAUCUUCCGCAAUGGGCGAAAGCCUGACGGAGCAACGCCGCGUGAGUGAUGAAGGUCUUCGGAUCGUAAAACUCUGUUAUUAGGGAAGAACAUAUGUGUAAGUAACUGUGCACAUCUUGACGGUACCUAAUCAGAAAGCCACGGCGAACUACGU